rnacentral:rRNA from 1 species
GUAUUUUGUAAAGUUGUUCUAGUUUUGUAACUAAAAUGGUUUGGCAGUGAGCGAUUCUUAUUAGGGGAAUAUGCAUAGUGAAGGAUGGUCCACCUAUUAGUUUACUCUUUUUAUGUUGGUGUAUGUCUGGUUUGAUAUUAUUGUUGAAUAAUUUAAGUUUGUGUAGUUUUAGUUAAGCUAAGUCUAUGUGCUGCUUAUUGGAGUUUUUGUGUGUUACAUUAAUAAGGGUGUUAUUGUAAGAUGAUGUGAUUUAGA